AGAGAAACGCCGUCCCGUAGGACGUCCCGCAGCGGAGCGCUCCUCAACCUCCGGCAGCGCUACCGCCGGCACGGCCCGGAUUCCUGAAAUAACUGCUGCCAGAUAAAAGCUCCGCAGCCCCGCGCUGGAGGAGCUGCACACAGGUCUCUUCAUCAGCCUAAGGGCAAAGCUGUGUUUGUGUAUGAAAGGUCACCCACAGAAGAAAAAUCCUGCUCCAAACAAAUAAGGUUUUACAAAAAGGCACACCGGUCAUUGCUGCUCUGCAGCAGGAAGAUGCACGAGCGUGCAUGGAUCCACAUCCAAAGCAGCAGCAGUCAUUCAGAGUGACAAAAUGAACACCACGACUGAGGGACUGCAGAAACACCGCCUGCAGACCAAGGAGCUGCUCCUCCAACCACUGCGGAGGCAGCCCCGGAUCACAGACGUGCUGCAACACAGCUCGGCUCUGCCCCAGCAAUUAAUGGAAGCCCUCAAUGAUGGUGGUAGCAGGAAUUUGGUUUUCCCCCAGCACUGCAGGCAUGCUUUAAAGUGCCAGGAAACUGGGGGGGAAAAAAAGCUAUUUUUUUGUACAUGAUUUACUUGAACUUCAUUUAAUUUCUUCUAAGAAACAGAAAAAUCACUGAUGCAGAGCCCAGCAAUUUCAUUUUGUUCUGUAAAAGUACAGAUUUGGAUCCAAAAAUCAACUUGAAGUUUUACCAAAGGCUCUUCUGGCUCCUGAAGAAAAGCUCAUCGAGUUGCUAACGGUGCUAAGCUGCAGAAUGAUCCUGAAUGUUUGAUACCCACCCUCUCGUUAGCACCAGCAUCGCUGUCAGCACAGCUUCUGCACGUUGGUCUUUAGAAAAAGCACAUCUCAUCUGAGGACUCCAUAGGGGGCGGCUCAGUGGUCUCAUAUCUAAAGGAGUGCGACCUCUGCAGGGCCCUUUGCAGCUGUUAGGACUGGAUGUGAGAUAGCAGCACAGCCAGGCAGGUCUGAAAGUUUUAAAGAAAUCACCUAUUUAAUACACCUUCAGAGCCCUGCACGCCGCAGCUCUCCUACCUGCACAGCAGCAGCACUGAUGUGAGCCUCUCUGCUAAGGGUAGGAUCUAAGAGCACGUUGGGAUCCUGCAAUUAAAGGCAGUAAGGAGGCAAAGUGAAAGCGAAGCACCCCUGCUGUUUUUGUGGUAAAGCAGUCCACGAUUGAUGCACAGCAGCUCACCAAUCUAAACAAUGAUUUCGUUAAUAGCUCUGCUGAGGUCAGGUAAGUUUUGAGUGUAAUUGCAUCCUGCUUCCACAAGCAGAACAAUCACCGCCAUUAAUCACCCGCCCAUCUGCACAGAUGCUCAGGUUGCUCUUUGCAGGCUCACACCUGAGAUCUCCGGGUUCUGUUCAGUAAAAACGUGCCACAAAGUGCUGCUGAGACUGCUUCAGAAUGGAAGGUUUUCUGUGCAAUGUUUGCUGACUGUAGGAAAUAGGGCCGUUACCUCCUCUGCAGACUGCAAAGUCUUUUAAUUAUGGAGGUACUGCUAUCCUGUAAAUGAAGAUAGAAUAAGUUUGGUCUGAAGAAAAACAACAACAACAAAAAAAAGCUUUAGUGUCAUUUCAAAGCGUUCAGUUACUGAAAUGGAAUUUUCUGUGCCUGCCAAAAUGAGUCCUGUUCAGUGUGAUGCAACAGGUGAUGGAAUUCCAGCAGCCGCCUCAGCCCACAUCUGGGAACAGUUAGGAGUUUAAAGGAAGUUCUGUAAGCAGUUCUUAUGUAUAAAACCGAUUCAUCAGUGGCAUCUAUGGGCCAUAUUCACCACCGCCCGCACGGCGCAUAGCUCACAUUUUUGUUUGGCUUACAAGAAAAGGAGCUCUGCUGCUCGGGACGUUUGAGGAUCCCAGGCACCGGUCCAGGCUGAGAACGUGCAGUGCUUCGUGGGGCUCUAUGGGCCGUCAGGGAGGUGAGGCUGCGCUUUGCAGGAGGUGUGAAUGCACUUCAAAUCGGUUCUACCCUGAUAGAUGCACCACGUGUGAGGUGAGAGCUAUCAGAAGUGCUCCUCAGACAAGAGGGAGAUCUCUGGCUUAAGGGAAACCUGAGCCAGUGGUCCCCUCCUCCCAAGGGAAAAACACAUUUGUGUCAGUCCUUACAAACUCAGCAUCAAGAGAAAGGUUCUGUUUAACACCGUUAUAUUUACUGGGGGAGGAAAUCACCAAAAACCCACAGCACCUUCUCUUUAAAAGCCAUUUUUCACUCUCCCUUUUUCUUCUGUGCCUCUGCCAGCCCCUUGGAGGCCAAGCAUAGAAGACUGCCAAAGCAAUUGCCCUGCUGGCUUUGCUUAACUACCACAAGCUCAUCAGCCACGAGGGUGUAAUGCUACAGUGAGAGGGGAAGCACAGCAGUAAUAGCAGGGUAGCAAAGUCUUUAGCUGCAGAAAACGAAGACAAGCCCAAAUGCAAUAGCUAUAGAAACAAAGGAAAGAGGCUGCUUACCUCUGGAAGGCCUCAGGCAUGCAGAGAUCUCCAGCAGCUCCCCUUACCUCCACUGCCAACCCUUACAUGAGGGCUGGGAAGGAGGGGAUCCUGGCUACACCCCCUCCCGUCACUCAGCUGCAUUGCAUUGCAUUGCAUUGCAUUGCAUUGCACACAGCUGAGCUCCCCUGGGCUGGCCCUGCCCUCCCACCAGGUGCUCCAUCACUGCUUCAGGCCGUGAUCAGCAUUUCUGCUACAGAGGGUGACCUAUUCUGACAGAAACUGCAGAUAUACACAGAAAUGCUUUAAGAAUGUUUUAAGAGAAGCCGAUUUGAAAGUAUUCUGCAGAGCAAAUCCUCCAUCCUCGUGCCUGCAUUGCAGGCCACACACAAAUACAGAGCGAGGACCGACCUAAAGUUAUUUCUGUGGACUGGGCAGGAUGCUCACACCAUCACUGGAAAUGCUCUGAAUUGGUGUAACCGGCGUGGCUCAGGGUGCAGUUCACGGCUGUUAGAGCUGCCUCUGCAGAGUGCCUCUCACGUCCCAGCAAUCGCAGUCUGGACAGAGAUCUGUUCAUCACGUUCACUCUCAGCCUCCGGAUAUCCAACAAAGUGGUAUUUACUCCAAGGCAGGGCAGACUGCAGAGGCCAUGGAAGUUCUCAUCAGCCUAAAAUGCAGAAACAUCUGUUGGGGUCACAAGAUUCUCAUUUGCUGUUGAUGAGUGAAGAAUCGGCUCCAUUUGCAGCUGGCACAACAAAGGGCUGUAGGGCUGAGGAGACAAACAGGCCUUAAUUUCCUCCUGAACUGCAUCUCCACUGCAGCACAAUGGCAAAAAGGGGUGAUUCCUUGUGCUGACCCUCGCUGACCUUAUCACUGCACAGGAAUUACAACAAAAAAUGCUGUAACAGAGCCCUCCUGAGCUGGAGGCUAGAGCAACCAGGACAGAACUCUCCAAGAAAUACCACAGCUGGUACACAGCUUUACACAAGUGUUCCAUUUAAGCAAGAAGGCCAUUACACCAAUGCCUGUGGUUCCUCUGAAGCAAUAGUGCACAUCCUCGUGCUCCUCACUGCUCUGUGCAGGCAGUCUGCCCUCAGCUCUGAGUUCCUCUUCACUUUGGGAUUCUUGUGUGGGUAGUGACUGCCACCUGCAGCAGCAAGGAAGUACUUCCCUUCGAUUUAGAGCUUUUUAAUUGCCAUCACAGCCAGAGCCUUUCCUCCCCCACCCUCCACCUUCCUUAAGGGUGAACACAGCAGCAUUCCAUCUCACUGAACACCAAUGCAGAUAUAUAUUACAUUUCCAUAGCUUAGGAAGUGAUGAGAGGGAGUAAAUCCGGAAAGCAGCUGAAACUCUGCAUAAGGCUUCUUUCAGCCAAAGGACAAACAGCUGAGUGAGGAGGUGCACCUGACACUACUAUCAGAGCAUGCACAUGAUAUUCUUCAGACGGAAACCACUGUCCCUGAAAUCUAACACUUAAAAGUGGUAGGAAGUCACUUAACUGAAGAUGAAAGGUUUAAUUUAAAAGUAUGUCCCAGAACUACUUUUUUUUUUUAGCAAUGAAGUCUACCAUCAAUAAAUCCUUGGGCAGACAUUCUGCCUUGUGUUGGUGCAGAGACUCAGUAUUUAGGUUAGAAGUUUCCUUCUAUGUUCACAAUCUUCUGGCACCUGCACUUUGGGUGCCAAGAGGACGUGACUUGUCCCUGGGACUUAGUGCCUAGAAAUCCACCCCUGUACACACUGGGUAAUAUUAGCCCUAUGUAAGCCAGAUAAAAACAAGAGCUUCUUUAGGAGAUCAGUGAAGAUUUUCAAACACGAUGGCUCCUGAUACAGCAGGGAAAAAAGUCCUUAUUGUAAAAUAAAGAUCUAAAGUACUUCAGGAGAAAGCAUCAAUACAAAAGCGUUUAUGUUUUAGUAAUUUAUUUACAAGACAAUUAGGCAACAAUUUACCAAAGCUCUACUUGUUACAAGCUACCUGUCUCCUUCUGCUCAUCAGCCUCAUUCUGUGCUACUCACAUUGCUUUUCCUCUUGAAAAAUCCAGAUAUAAGAGGCAAUAAAGAGUUCUUCCAGAAGCUGUUCACCAACUGAUUAAUGAACACACUGUGCAUCCUCCUGGUCCUCCUAACUAGAUAAAAUAACCAUAUAGUACAACAAACACAGUUCCACAUCUUUCUCUUGACACCUGGCCCUGUAAGGAACACUACUUUGGGAAGAGUUGCAAACCAGUGCACUUGAAGCCAGGUGCAAGAAAGUAAAACGAGUUUAAGGAUACAUCAUUCAUGUUUGCUAAGAAUAACAUUUGAUUUAAUUUUCAAUAUUGUCAAGGCAAUUUUGUGAUGAUAAAAAUGACUGUUUAAAAAAAUGCCUCCUUAUGGGUAAGCAGAAGAAAAUUCCAUUUUUGUAUCAGUCAUACAUGCUGCUGGUUUCACAUUCUGGUAUAACUGAAAAGCUGGAUGUGUUGUAUGUUCAUAAGUAAAGCAAAGAUACAGAACAAAUCAAAGACAAUAAACAAAAAAAAGUUUACUGACAUUGAUUUAGUACCCAGCCAUCAGUAACAAGCAAGAAUAAAACACACAGAAAUCACAGA